rnacentral:siRNA from 1 species
CUGAGCCGUUUCCAGGGUGGGCAG